GGAGAGGUGGCAGAGUGGUCGAUUGCGGCGGUCUUGAAAACCGUUGAUCUUCACGGGUCCGGGGGUUCGAAUCCCUCCCUCUCCG
rnacentral:tRNA from 1 species